GCUCCUUUCUUGGCAUACUGUGUGUGUGUGUGUGUGUGUGAGUGUGUGUGUGUGAGUGUGAGUGUGUGUGUGUGAGAUGGAGGAAUAUGAAAGUCCAAUGCUAUGUCUUUGGUGCCAGAAAGUCAACCAUCGUCUGGUUCUAUCCUCAAUCACUGGCACAUUU